rnacentral:lncRNA from 1 species
UUUUUUUUUUUUUUUUUUUUUUUUUUUUUUGNUGUGCCCUCCUCAUGCAGAAGUUACCUGGGCCAGGGAUCAAACCUGAGCCACAGCAGUGGCAGUGAGCCACAGCAGUGACAAUGCUGAAUCCUUAACUGCUAGGGUACCAGGAGUGACUGUUUUGAUUAAUGAAUAGUUGCAUAACAAACCACCCCCCAAACUUUUUCUUGUCUCUUUAAGGCUGCACCUGCAGCACAUGGAAGUUCCCAGGCUAGGGGUCGAAUUGGAGCUGCAGUGCUGGCCUAGACCACAGCCACAGCAACACAGGAUCUGAGCCACAUCUGUGAUCUAUGCCAUAGCUUGCCGCAAUGCUGGAUUCUUAACCCAAUGAGCGAGGCCAGGGAUACAACCCAAAUCCUCAUGGAUACUAUGUCAGGUUCUUCUGAGCCACAACAGGAAAUUCUACCCCCAAAACUUCAUGGUUUAUGUGGUUAAAAUGAGAAACCAUUUAUUAUCUCUCAUGGUUCUGUGGGUUGAAGGGUGACCACGGGUCAGCUGGGCAGUCCCUCAGCUGCAUGUGACAUAGGCAGGAACUGCAGCCAUCUAGGGCUCAUCUGGCUGGAGUAUCCAAGUCUGGUGCCUUGGAGGGGACGGCUGGCAAUCAGGGCUCAGCUGGGAUGGCACGCCUCUCUCCUUUCCUAGUAGUCUCAUGGCAUUUCCUUCUCCCUGUGGCUUCUCUGCUAGUCUCUGCAGCAGGACAGCUGUACUUGUCCCAUGUCAGCUUUCUCCCCACGAGCGCAAAAGCCGAAGUUUCCAAUCCUUUAUAAGCCUUGGGCUCAGAAUUGGCAUAUUUUCUUUUCUGCCGUAUCCUAUUUAUUAAUAUGAUUCCCAAAGCCAGUCCAGAUCCACUGUGGGAAGAGAGACCCGAUAAGGGCAUAGGUGCUGGGAGGUAUGUCUUGUUGGGGACUAUCUUUGGAAACAAACUACUACAUUGAGCAAUACAUGAUUUUUAUGGUGGGUUAAGGAACUGGUGUUGUCACUGCAGCAGCUUGGGUCACAGCUCUGGUGCAGGUUUGAUCCCUACCCCAGGAACUUCCAUAUGCUGUAGGUGGAGCCAAAGAAAAAAAAAGGAUUUUUGCUAUUGAAAUUUCAAGUAUGCCACUCCCUUAUCCCUUCCUUAGAAAUAUCGUCUCUUAGGUUUGCACAAUUAUUGAACAAGUAUUUGUUGACUAUAUAAUUUUUUUUUAGAGCCACACCCACGCAUAUGGAGAUUCCCAGGCUGGGGGUCGAAUCAAAGCUGUAGCCACCACCUACACCGCAGCCACAGCAAUGCCAGAUCCAAGCCGCAUCUUCGAACUACACCACAGCUCAGGGCACCUCCAGAUCCUUAACCCACUGAACAAGGCCAGGGAUUGAACCUUCGGCCUAAUGGAUGUUAGUCAGAUUCGUUUCCACUGAGCCACGACGGGAAAUUCUACAAAGAGUAAUUUAGAGUCUGUGGUCGCCAUCCUAAUACAGGUGUCAUGUUUCAAUUUCUUAUAUAUAACUUCACAGGCUUAGGACAGAGCUCUGCAUACAGCAGGUGUUAAAGGCUACACACUUUGCUGGAUAUAAUAUUUCUGCACCAACUUUAUUUUGGUUAAUAUUUUCAUGUAUCUUUUCUUUUCUUUUUGCUCUUUUUGGGGCCACACCCACGGCAUAUGAAGAUUCGAAGGCUAAGGGUCAAAUUGGAGCUGUAGCCGCCGGCCUACACCACACCACAGCCACACAGGAUCUGAGCUGCAUCUGCGACCUACACCACAGCUCACGGCAACGCUGGAUCCUUAACCCACUGAGGGAGGCCAGGGAUCAAAUCUGUGUCCUCAAGAAUACUAGUCAGUUCAUUAAUCACUGAGCCAUGACGAGCCACGAAGGAAAUUCCUAUGUAUCUUUUCUUUAACCCUUUACUUGCAGGUUUUCUCUGUCAAUAUAUUUUAGGUCCAUAAAAUAUAGUUGGAUUAAAACAAACGUAAUUUUUUUACUGAUGUGUUUCCUGUAGUUUCAUUUAUUGUGAAAACCAACAUAUUUGGCUUUAUUUCUACUGUCUUAUUUAGUGUUCUGGUUUUUAUUACCCUUGUCAUUUGUUUUUCUCCUGUCCUUCAUGCUCUCUCUUGGUUUGGAAGUUAUGCAUUUUAUUUCUGUUCUUCCAGCAGUUACCUUCAGUUUUUAACAGCCUCCUUGAUGAAAGAGUCUGAAAUUAAUCAAUAUUUCUGUCUUCAUCCUGGACAAAACAAAGACUUCAAAUGUUUAAACUCUGACUACUUCACCCUUCUACCAAGUUUUCUUAUCUAGUAUUUUGUUUCCACCUUGUUUUUUAACUCUCCCAAAGUAGCAAUUAUGUCUUUUUAUUUUGAAAUUUACUUACAUAAAAUUCAUGCUUUUGGUAACAUACCAUGAAUUUUGACAAAUGCUUAGCGUUGUGUAAUCACCACCAUAAUCCACACACAGACAGUUCUACCAAACAAACAAGCAAGCACACUUUCUCAGGCUGCCACUUCAGAGUCAAACCCUCCUUCCUUCCCUGACAAUCACUGCUUUGUUCUCUAUCUCUAUGGUUUUCCUUUUUCAGAAUGUCAAAUAAAUGGAACCCUAUGAUAUGUAGCAUUUUCAGUCUGGCUUCUUACCCGUAGCUUACUGCAACCACACUGACGCAUGUAUCAACAGUUCAUUCCUUUUUAUUGCUGAGUAGUAUUCCAUUGUAUGAAUGUAUCACCUAUCACAUUUUUAAAAAUUAAGUUUUGAUUUUUAUCUAUCUUGAAGGACAUUUGGGUUUUAUCGGUUCUUCGGCAAUUUUGAAUAAACCCAACAUAAAUAAUCGCACACAGUUUUUGAAUGUAUGUGUGAGCAAAUUUUAGAUUUCUCUGGGGGAAAUACCUAGGAGAGGGAUUGUUGGGUCAUAUAGGAAGUACCUACUUAAUGUUACAAGAAACUGCCAAACUGCUUCCCACAGCGGCCGUCCUAUUUGGCAUCCAUCAGCAAUGUGUAAGUCAUCCACUUUCUCUGCAUCCUCGCUUGCACUUGGUAAUAGCAGGGUUAUCAUUUACUGUUUUGAAAAUAAUAAUCUCUAAUGAAUGAUGACGUUGGCUCAAUUACCAUCUGUAUAUAUUUUCUCUCUUUUUUUUUUUUUUGGCUUUG